AAAGUCGUAACAAGGUUUCCGUAGGUGAACCUGCGGAAGGAUCAUUAAUGAUUUUAAAGCGAGUCGAGCGUUAUGCGAGGCUUGCGAAAAUAUUUAAAACCCCACUCUUUUUUAACUAAAAAAUAAAUCAUGAUACAUGAAUUUAAAAAAAAAGAUCACUUUCAACAACGGAUCUCUUGGCUCUC
rnacentral:misc_RNA from 1 species